UCAUGGCUCAGGACGAACGCUGGCGGCGUGCCUAAUACAUGCAAGUCGAGCGGACAGAUGGGAGCUUGCUCCCUGAUGUUAGCGGCGGACGGGUGAGUAACACGUGGGUAACCUGCCUGUAAGACUGGGAUAACUCCGGGAAACCGGGGCUAAUACCGGAUGGUUGUUUGAACCGCAUGGUUCAAACAUAAAAGGUGGCUUCGGCUACCACUUACAGAUGGACCCGCGGCGCAUUAGCUAGUUGGUGAGGUAACGGCUCACCAAGGCAACGAUGCGUAGCCGACCUGAGAGGGUGAUCGGCCACACUGGGACUGAGACACGGCCCAGACUCCUACGGGAGGCAGCAGUAGGGAAUCUUCCGCAAUGGACGAAAGUCUGACGGAGCAACGCCGCGUGAGUGAUGAAGGUUUUCGGAUCGUAAAGCUCUGUUGUUAGGGAAGAACAAGUACCGUUCGAAUAGGGCGGUACCUUGACGGUACCUAACCAGAAAGCCACGGCUAACUACGUGCCAGCAGCCGCGGUAAUACGUAGGUGGCAAGCGUUGUCCGGAAUUAUUGGGCGUAAAGGGCUCGCAGGCGGUUUCUUAAGUCUGAUGUGAAAGCCCCCGGCUCAACCGGGGAGGGUCAUUGGAAACUGGGGAACUUGAGUGCAGAAGAGGAGAGUGGAAUUCCACGUGUAGCGGUGAAAUGCGUAGAGAUGUGGAGGAACACCAGUGGCGAAGGCGACUCUCUGGUCUGUAACUGACGCUGAGGAGCGAAAGCGUGGGGAGCGAACAGGAUUAGAUACCCUGGUAGUCCACGCCGUAAACGAUGAGUGCUAAGUGUUAGGGGGUUUCCGCCCCUUAGUGCUGCAGCUAACGCAUUAAGCAC
rnacentral:rRNA from 2 species